CACAAAUCAAAGAUGGAUCUGACCGCCCGUUUCCUUUUCGUUCUCUCUCUCUCUUACUCAAAGAUUAAGAUUUUAGAUCUGGAUCUGGAUCUAUUCACCGUAAGCUAUUGUUCCCGAAGAUCUGGACACCUUCCCUAAGAUGGUUGAAGAUGGAUCCCUAGCCGUCGCAUCUGGUGAAGACGGUGGUGAUUUCAACUAUAUGUGAUCUUAUGCUUCAAUUUCUCUAUGCUUCAAUUUCUCUUUAGUUGGUUUAUCAUUGAUCAUCCCAUUUCUUUCUCCAGAACGCAGAAGAGAGAGAGAGAGAGAAAGAGAUAUGGAGUUAGAGAGAGAAAAGAGGAGCUACAAGAGGAGAGAGAGAACGGUGAUGGCAGCUGUUAGGUUCCGGCUGUGAAACCGACUUUUCAUUUUUCUGGUCUGGUGAAUCAGGAGAGCAAAUUCUUGAAGUAUUUAGUAUUUAUGUGGAACACAUUAUCAUGGGUUAUGGAAGCUGCUGCUAUUAAGGCGAUUGACAUUGCAAAUUGAGGAGGAAAGCCGCCUGAUUGGCAGUCUUUUGUGGGUAUUAUCACUCUGCUCAUAAUCAAUAACAAAGUUAGUUUCAUUGAAGCAAAGAACACUGGUAAUGUAGCAGCUCGCAAGGCCAGUCUUGCCCCAAUCCUAUCCUUUGUUCUUCAUAAUGUAAAAAUUGCGAACAGGUUAAAUCGAGGCGAUUGCGAUUGCUACUAGGGUUCAUAUGUUCUUUAGAGAGUAGCUUAUCUUGUUGAUAGCACAAAUCAAGCUGGUCACUUUCAAAAGCUAAACAUGAAAAAGAAUCAAACCAAUUAUUUUGUUUCAUUGGUGUACGUUUUGAAUCUUGCACACAACAAACAGACAUAGAACGCCAGUUCAAGGCGUCAUUGAUUAAUCUGCAGACUGCGGAUUAAGGUCACUUGCUGUAGCAUACCAGAUAUUCGCAGCUUGUGCCCGUCACUUGUUGGUAAAUGAUCCUUCUAAAAAUGAGGUGUUUCUUAAUAAUUCAUGAUAUAUAUAAUUGGUAAAGGUGUCAAUGGUGGAUGGGUCUGCUUGGGUUGUGUUUUAUCUCCGGUCAAAUAAAAAUAUAGUUAAAAGAGUUAUGGAUUGGAAAUAUCCCAAAAGUUUAUUAAAACAACAGUUUCAAAAGCUGGUCAAAUGUCUUUGCUACGUUUGAAUGCAUAUUAUAGAGGAUGCUGGUGGGGAGUGCCAAAACUCUUAAAGCAGUGCCCAAAUUCAACUCCUUUAUGGCUCUCACUUGCUAAUGUUGAGGAGAGAAUGAGCGGUCUGAGUAAAGUUCGGGCUGUGCUCACUGUGGCUACAAAAAGGAACCCGCAUUUCCCCGAAUUAUGGCUGGCUGCGAUUAGAGCCGAGUCACGACACGGUUCUAAAAAAGAAGCUGAUAUUUUAAUGGCGAAGGCGUUACAAGAAUGCCCCAACAGUGGUAUUUUAUGGGCUGCUGCAAUCGAAAUGGCUCGACGACUGCAAAGGAAAACCAAGAGCUCUGACACUUGCAAGAAAUGCUAACACGACCCACAUGUAAUAGCUGCUAGCUGGUUAUGUCUGUCUUUUGGCUUAAACAGGUGCUAUUGAUUUAAAUAUGUAACAGAUUAUGCAUGGUCAUUAUCCAGUGGGCAUUAAAAUGGAACGGCAUCCAGACAAGCCAAUUUGUGAAGCCACUGAAGUAAUUGGAGCUUGAGAAAGAGCUAUAAUCUGUAUUUUUCAUCAAAUUUUGUAUUAUGGAGAUGAAUGUUGAGUUGGAUUUGUAGUUUUGAUGGUUUUAUACAAUCAGAAAGUUGAGUUGUUCAUUUCA